CAGAGAGGAAUAAGACUGCUAAGUUUCUUCUGAAUUGAAGAAAGGGAUCACACCAGAGUCCUUCAAGCUGGGUCCAGAUUUGUACACCUAGCAACACAUUUCCUUGCCAGGAAGAUAACCAAAUAAAGUCAUGGAGCUUUCACUAUUCAGGCAGCUCUUACAAAGCAUCUCAAAAUCCUGUCAAGUACUACAGAGAGAAGAUCUUAGACAACAGAAACACCUUACAGUGCUGGGAAACAAACUUCCCUGAAGAGCAAGACAAAGUAUUUGAACCUUUGGUACAAAAGACUUGAACAAAAGGGAUUUUUGAAGCAUAACCUAAAAAAGAUUAUUUCACUGGGUCCCAAUAUCCAUGCCCUGCAUACAUUCCUCAUUGCCUUUAAGAACUUUUAAUUUAGUUGACUCAUUUUAACCGGAACUUGCAGGAUGUUGCAUUUCUUACAGCUAAGUCCCCAUAAGUCUUAGGAGAAGAGGAACUACGUAGGAAAGAUGCUUUGUAAGCUAGCAAAACAUAUCCAGGUUUGACUCCUCAAGACAAUCAAACUUACUAACUGUGAUUAAUCACAUAUAUUAGGUACCCCAACAUCCCUUUAACCUACCAGUCCUCAAACGUCUUCAUAAUGAGAGUCAAUACAUUCCAACCAAACUAAAUUAUACAUUUUCUAAAGAAAAUCUUCUGAUACCAUAACAAACGUUUCCAUCUCCACGGAAUCCAAUCGAACAUUCACAAGAGAAACGAUUCCCAGUUCCUGCACGACAUACUGCAUUGGUGUCACAGUUAUGGGUACCAGUGUAGCAAGGAUUCCGGCUAAUAUCAGCAGAACCAUCUGAAAAGAAAUACCGUAUUUAGCCAUGACAACU
rnacentral:lncRNA from 1 species